ensembl:lncRNA
AUUCCUUACAGCCCAUAGAUUCAGGGUUACACUGAGAGCACCUGUUUCCAGGUGGGAAGAGCUGAACCUCAUCCAAGUGGAGGGAGAUGCCCUCUCCUCGUCCCUCUCCCCACCCUCCUACAGGCUGGGAGACUCUAUUUGCUGCUCAUCCCCAUGGGCCUUGAGUUCUUAAAGAAACCGCUUCCCCAGGACUCCCAAUUCUGCUGUCCAAGAGAGGGGUGUUUCAGGGGUUCAUCCAGAUCAUAACCAAAAGUCACUCAAUGGGCCCUAAAAACCAUGCUGACUGGGUAUGCUGACCAUGCCCAAGGUAUAAAGUAGGUAACAGGCUUUGGAGUCUGCAGAUUAAGUGUUUACAGAGGAACUACGACGUCUGGGAUUUGCUUCCAAACCGUCCACGGGGGCACGUGUUGAUGGGAGCAAAUUGGAUGAGCUGAUCGUUUUCAAAGCCGAGCACUGGGGAUGUGGGAACUCAGCCAGAGUUGAGGAACGUUAUCCGGCAGAGGAAGGCAAGGCACAGACAGUGGGCAUCAAGAGAGAGCUGGGAGCCCGUGCCCAGCCCCGCCGAC